UACGUAGGGUGCGAGCGUUGUCCGGAAUUACUGGGCGUAAAGAGCUCGUAGGUGGUUUGUCGCGUUGUCCGUGAAAACUCACAGCUCAACUGUGGGCGUGCGGGCGAUACGGGCAGACUGGAGUACUGCAGGGGAGACUGGAAUUCCUGGUGUAGCGGUGGAAUGCGCAGAUAUCAGGAGGAACACCGGUGGCGAAGGCGGACUUCUGGGUCAGUAACUGACAGCUGAGGCGCGAAAGCGUGGGGAGCAAACAGG
rnacentral:rRNA from 1 species